rnacentral:snRNA from 1 species
GGUUGUAAUUGGCUUUCUGGCUGUGACACAGGUCACCCUUUUGAUCGACAUGAUUGAGCAGGCUGAUCUAGAUGGCUAGGUUGGUGGCCCUUCUCUCACUGUUCCAUGGGUUACCUGCCCCUCGAUCUCCCCUGAAGCUGCAGGUUUGGUGGGAUAGGAUGACCACCCCAAUAGAGGAGGAUCUUUUUCUCUGGCAAGAGUAUAUCUAUGUAACCCUGUUAGAUCUGCAAAGCUCUCAAGGAUAACUGAAAUAGAUAUAUCAGUAAUUUAAUGCAGUAGGCUCAGAAGAAAAUUGCACUAUGUAAUCAGUUU